UCUCCACAUCCAUAAUCACUUGAGACAGCUUCUUUAUGUCCUCCUCACAGAACCAGCUCGUUGUCUUGCUAGGUAAACCAAUAACACCGGUUGAUCUUGAUCUGAUCCUGCCUUGUUGUUCCUGGACUGAGUUUGCAGAGCAUAGCUUUGUUUCAGACUGUUUUCGAAGCACUUCCUUGUGGUACUGUCUUGGAACAUACUUAUGACGCAUCAAAGCCCUUAAUUUAAGCCAGGUUGCAAUAGGUUCUUUUCCAUAGUGUCUCCUAGACGACACCAGUUGCUUCCACCAGCUUGAAGCAUAACCACAAAACUCAGCAGUGGCUAAUUGAACCUUCUUUACUUCAGCAUAGCUUUGAUAGUCGAAAAUCAACUCCAUCUUCUCUUCCCAUUCCACAUAUGCAGCAGGAUCAGCCUUGCCAUGAAAAGAAGGAAUUUGAUAUUUCAAUCCAGCAUGCUUCCGGUUUCUGUCAAUCUGAUCAAACUCCUUUUUCUUGUACUCAUCUCUGGAUGAUCUGCCUUUCCUUUGCUGAUGUAGGUCUUGUCUGAAUUUUCUCAACUGAUCUUUGCAGGCUUUAUCCAGACUGGCUGUGAAUUCUUCAAGAAAAAGCUUUUCUUUCUUACUGAGUUCUCCUUUUUGAUCUCCUGCCAUGGUACCUGAGACAAGAGAAAAAAAUUAAGCCAGUAAGUAGUUCUAACAAAACAGAUCACAAUUAGGAUUUAGACAACAAUCAGAACAGAUCAAAUCGAGAAUAAAAAUUCAAACACAAUCAGGUUGAUAAUCAGAACAAGUUUGAUAAUCAGAAACAAUUCACCAACGCAAUAUGAUCGAUCAAUCUUAAACAGAGACAGAUUAAAUUCGAAAUCUAAUCAACCAAACAAGAUAGAUUAUAUUCAAAGCAAUAAGAACAGAUCAGAAUCACACAAAUCCAAAGCAGAAACAGAUCAAGCAAAUCGAUUACUUCUGCAACAAGAAUGUGAAAAGUUUUUAUCAGAAACGAGAUCAACAAGCUUGAAUCUUAUUAAAACUCAACAACACAAUCAUAGAUCAAUCAAAACUAGUGAGAAUAAGAAUAGAUCGACAGGUUUUUAGCAAAAACAAACGGAUUUAUCAGAUUUAAACGCCAAGAACACAGAUCAGAUCAAACUCGACAGAAUAUGAACAGAUCAAAUUGAAA